GGCGGGGGGGCGGCUAACACAUGCAAGUCGAACGGUGAGCACAGGACCAGUCUUGCUCGUCGGGUGACGAGUGGCGGACGGGUGAGUAAUGUCUGGCAAACUGCCCGAUGGAGGGGGAUAACUACUGAGAAACGGUAGCUAAUACCGCAUAAUGUCGCAAGACCAAAGAGGGGGACCUUCGCGGCCUCUUGCCAUCGGAUGUGCCCAGAUGGGAUUAGCUAGUAGGUGGGGUAACGGCUCACCUAGGCAACGAUCCCUAGCUGGUCUGAAAGGAUGACCAGCCACACUGGAACUGACACACGGUCCACACUCCUACGGGAGGCAGCAGUGGGAAAUAUUGCACAAUGGGCGCAAGCCUGAUGCAGCCAUGCCGCGUGUAUGAAGAAGGCCUUCGGGUUGUAAAGUACUUUCAGCGAGGAAGAAAGCGUUGUGGUUAAUAGCCACAGCGAUUGACGUUACUCGCAAAAGAAGCACCGGCUAACUCCG
rnacentral:rRNA from 1 species